CCCCAGACUCCUACGGGAGGCAGCAGUGGGGAAUAUUGCACAAUGGGGGAAACCCUGAUGCAGCGACGCCGCGUGAGUGAAGAAGUAUUUCGGUAUGUAAAGCUCUAUCAGCAGGGAAGAAGUUGACGGUACCUGAGUAAGAAGCCCCGGCUAACUACGUGCCAGCAGCCGCGGUAAUACGUAGGGGGCAAGCGUUAUCCGGAUUUACUGGGUGUAAAGGGAGCGUAGACGGCAGUGCAAGUCUGAAGUGAAAGCCCCGGGCUUAACCCGGGAAUUGCUUUGGAAACUGUACGGCUGGAGUGCUGGAGAGGUAAGCGGAAUUCCUAGUGUAGCGGUGAAAUGCGUAGAUAUUAGGAGGAACACCAGUGGCGAAGGCGGCUUACUGGACAGUAACUGACGUUGAGGCUCGAAAGCGUGGGGAGCAAACAGGAUUAGAUACCCCGGUAGCC
rnacentral:rRNA from 1 species